CCUACGGGUGGCAGCAGUGGGGAAUAUUGCACAAUGGGGGAAACCCUGAUGCAGCGACGCCGCGUGAGUGAAGAAGUAUUUCGGUACGUAAAGCUCUAUCAGCAGGGAAGAAACUGACGGUACCUGACUAAGAAGCCCCGGCUAACUACGUGCCAGCAGCCGCGGUGAUACGUAGGGGGCAAGCGUUAUCCGGAUUUACUGGGUGUAAAGGGAGCGUAGACGGCAGCGCAAGUCUGGAGUGAAAUCCCAUGGCUUAACCAUGGAACUGCUUUGGAAACUGUGCAGCUAGAGUGCAGGAGAGGUAAGCGGAAUUCCUAGUGUAGCGGUGAAAUGCGUAGAUAUUAGGAGGAACACCAGUGGCGAAGGCGGCUUACUGGACUGUAACUGACGUUGAGGCUCGAAAGCGUGGGGAGCAAACAGGAUUAGAUACCCGAGGAGUC
rnacentral:rRNA from 1 species